UACGUACCGUCCAAACGUUAUUCGGAAUUACUGGGCUUAAAGGGUACGUAGGCGGCGCUGUCAGUCGGGUGUGAAAUCCCUCGGCCCAACCGAGGAACUGCGCCCGAUACUGCAGUGCUUGAGGGAGACAGAGGUAAGCGGAACUGAUGGUGGAGCGGUGAAAUGCGUUGAUAUCAUCAGGAACACCAGUGGCGAAAAGCGGCUUACUGGGGUCUCUUCUGACGCUGAGGUACGAAAGCUAGGGGAGCGAAGGGG
rnacentral:rRNA from 1 species